GUUUCGCUCUUGUUACCAGGCUGGAGUGCAAUGCCACGAUCUCGGCUUACCGCAACUUCUACCUCCUGGGUUCAGGCAAUUCUCCUGCUUCCCAGCCUACUGAGUAGCUGGGAUAACAGGCAUGCGCCACCAUGCCCAGCUAAUUUUUUGUAUUUUUAGUACAGACGGGGUUUCACCAUGUUGACCAGGAUGGUCUUGAUCUCUUGACCUUGUGAUCCACCUACCUCGGCCUCCCAAAGUGCUGGGAUUACAGGCGUGAGCCACCGUGCCCGGCCCUGAAUUACACAUUUUGUCUACUCUUUCCAUGGAUCUGUAAAUCAAAAAAUGGCUGGUCCAAGCAUUGCUUAUGUCUAGUUGUGUUUUUCCUGAAUUUUCCCACAUGGUUGAAACCAUGGCUUGAGUCUCAUUUUAUUUUUUUAUGUAUUGGCACUGUGGAGCCUCUGGGACAAAGCCAAGCUGUUACAGAGUGGUUUAGGAUCACUGUCUGUGUGCCAGCACCUUCUUUUUCUAAUCUUGUCCCCUGUUAAACAAGAUACAGUCUUACACCACAAGCAUCCCUCACUGCCAGAGGAUAACAGCAGCGGCUCAGCAAGGCAGACCUCAGCGUGCAAGAGCCUGGGUGUGGUCUGGGGAAAAUCAGCAAAUGCAUUUUUCAAAAGUUGGGGUUAUGUAAAAGACUGCUUAUGUGGAGUCAUCCAGUUCACAUACCCAGUCAGGCCACAUAGUUCUGCUCAUUAUCAAGGCCAAAGAAAGAAGGAGGACUAUAAAUACAUGACUUUAGAGAGAUUUAAGGAUAAACUUCAGCAAAACUAUAAGGAUGAUUUAUAAUCAGCACAUGAAUGGCUUCUCUAUAAAUAGGACUUCCCAUAGUACAUGCAGUUUGUCCACUUAAAUGUUUUAAGUAACUGUUUUUCCUUUUUUCUUUCUCUCCAUUCUGUCUGAAGUUUUGAGUAACAUCUUUUAGCAGAUAUGAACAAAAAUUAUCCUUUCUAAAAGUGACCUCUCUAAAACACCUGCUCAAUCACUUUCCUGUUAAAAUUACUCAGUGCUUCCUUCCUAGAACUGAGUACUUUCAGUAUUCAGUCCAAGCACCCUUGGGUCAUGUAGAACUGUGCAAUAUGAUAACCCCUAGCCACACGUGGUUUCUGGGCACUUGAAAUCUGACUAGCACAAGGAAGGAACUGAAUUUUUAAUACUGUUUAAUUAAAAUUAAUCUAAAAUUUUAAACUGGUAGUUGACCCACUUAUUUUGAAAAUUAAAAAUUAUAUUUGGAGCAACCUGGGUAUGUGAAAUCUACCUUUCAACUGUAAAUUUUAUGAAAUAUAAAUAUAGUUCCAAUAUUUUUGAUGGAAAGUUAGCAACUAAAUUUGAGGUAAAGUACCAGCUUUUGAAGACAUAGUUUAUAAAAAAAGAUGUAAAAAUACUUCAUUAAGAAUUUUAUGGCUGGGCACGGUGGCUCAUACCUAUAAUCCCAGCACUUUGGGAGGCUGAGGUGGAUGGAUCACGACGUCAAGAGAUCAAGACCAUACUAGCCAACAUGAUGAAACCUCAUCUCACUAAAAAUACGAGUAUUAGCUGGGCAUGGUGGUGUGUGCCUAUAGUCCUAGCUACUUGGGAGGCUGAGGCAGGAGAAUCACUUGGACCCAGGAGGCAGAGGUUGUAGUGAGCUGAGAUCACGCCACUGCACUCCAGCCUGGUGACAGAGCGAGACUCUGUCUCAAAAAAAAAAAAAAAAAGAAUUUUAUAUUGAUUACAUGUUGAAAUGAUACAUUAGGAUAUAUUAGGUUAAAUAAAAUAUAUAGUUAAAUUAAUUUCACCUGUUUCUUUUUGCUUUUCUUUGUUUAUGUGACUAUUAGAAAAAUUUAAAUUUUACAUGUGGCUCACAUUAUGUUUCUACAGUACCAACCUAGCAAAUUUACUGACUGUAGGAGGAAUGAAUGAAUGAAUAGCUUCAAAGCCCUUCACCGCUUGCUUCAAUCUUGCUCUUUAAGUCUCAUCUGCCACGACUUUAAUUCAUCUAUUUGGCACUUCAUCUGGUGCCAGCAUUCCUGGCUCUUUCACGUGUCAGUGGCUUUGUUCCCUCUCCUCCAUCUGGCCUGAGUUUCUCUUCAUCCUCCAGGACCCAGCUCAAAUGUCCUCUUCCCUCUGAAGCCUUUAUCUACCUCUCCAGGCCUGAGCUCUGUGCUCCCAAAGACCUGGAGCAUUCUGUAAAUCCUAUCAUGGCAUCUACCACUUUGGUAGAGUGCAGAGUUUCAUGUGUCUUUUUUGUUUUGUUUGGAGACAAAGUCUCAUUCUGUCGCCCAGCUGGAGUGCAGUAUGCGACUUCAGAUCACUGUUAGGUCCGCCUCAUGGUUUCAAGCAAUCCUCAUGCCUCAGCCUCCUGAGUAGCUGGGAUUACAGACACACACCACCAUGCCCAUCUAAUUUUUGUAUUUUUAGUAGAGACAGAGUUUCACCAUUUUGGCCAGGCUGGUCUCGAACUCCUGACCUCAAGUGAUCCACUCACCCCAGCCUCCCAAAGUGCUGAGAUUACAGGCAAAUGUCUUUUUCCUAUGAAUUCCCAGCAUUAAGCAGCAUGCCUUGGACCUUAGAGAUGCCCAAUAAAUGUCUGCUGAGCAUGUCAAAGACCUUACAUAGAAUAGCGCCAAUUCUUUGUUGGUAGAAUUCAUGUCAGUGACUCAGGGAGGGGUUCUAAGUUAAAGUGGACUUCAGUGAAGGGGGUGCUCUAAGAUGGGCAAAGGCAAAAUCUGCUAUGUGAUUACAGCAACCACAGAGGAAGAAAUGACGAAUGUGUACGGAUGAGUAAAAAAGGCCUGGAAUUCUCUUCUGCUUGUUUAGGGAGGAGACAUGCACACAGCAAGCGCAACUCAUUUCAGCAGGACAACAGGGGUGCAAAAAGUAUUGCACUGAAUCAACAGGUCUUCACGGGAAUCCGGUGACAGUCUGACAAUCAGGAAGGAAAGGGGGUGGAGCGAAGAUUAUUUUAAGCAGAGUCAUAAAGAAAAAGUCUCUUAAGUCUCUCAGAGCCAGAUGGAAGAUUUAUGCUUCAUUUAUCAAGAAAGAGGAUAGAACCUUAGGGUUCCUCUAAGUCACUCUCUCCUUCAGGCACACCUUUCUCUUCACCACACCCAGGAGGGAGAGCUAUAUCUAAAUCUAGGUUUCUAGUCGUCAACCAAGGCAGGUCCAGAUUAAAUGCUUCAAACUUUAAACUGAUAAAAGAGGCUGAGCAUCAAGGAGCUGGGAAAUUCCAAAGCAUUUUUAUACUUCAAAGAAUGCUUCCUAGGGCAACAUGGAGAGCCAGGCAAGUAGAAAUGAAUGGGUUAAAAAAAAUCAUCCUCUGCUUAAAAUAGCCCAGCAGUCUCUCCUACUAGAAAAAAAAUCUAAUUAAGCAUAUCUUUCCACUGCAUAGUUCUUAGUAGUAGACAGAAACAACUAAACUAGAAACAUCCUGGUUGAAUAAACUGUAGAAUAUCUAUAUUAUGGCUUAUUAUCUAAGUAUUAAAAAGAAAAAAUCUUGUGAUACGUGUUAACCUGGAGAUGUUUCACAGAAAUGUGUACAGGUUGGCAGUAUUUUCAUGAAAUCAGCACUACCCCACCAUGGCUGUGUGUGUACAUCCAUAGUAAAUAGUCUGAUUUCAGAGAGAAAGAAUGAGAGGCUGGGGAAAGAAGAAAAAGAGAGAAGAGAAGGAGGAAGAAAGGGAGGAAAGGAGGAGGAAAGGUGGAAAGAUACACAAUAAGCAGUUCAGAUUGGUUAUUUGAGGGAAGCAAGGUUGUGAGGAGCAUAGUUAGUUGUGUGGGGGGGGGCAUAUAUAGUCACGCACCUGUAACAAUGUUUUGGUAGUGACAGACUACUUAUACAACAGCAGUCUCCUAAGAUUAUAAUGGAGCUGAACAAUUCCUAGCACCUUGUGAUGUGGUAGCUGUCAUGAUGCCAUAGCGCAAUGCACUGCUCAUGUUUGUGGUGAUGCUGGUGUAAAGAAACCCACUGUGCUGCCAGUGUCGUAAAAGUAUAGCACAGGCCGGGUGCAGUGGCUCACACCUGUAAUCCCAGCACUUUGGGAGGCUGAGGCAGGCAGGUCAUGAGGUCAGGAGAUCGAGACCAUCCUGGCCAACAUGGUGAAACCCUGUCUCGACUAAAAUACGAAAAAAUUAGCUGGGUGUGGUAGCACGUGCCUGUAGUCCCAACCACUCAGGAGGCUGAGGCAGGAGAAUCGCUUGAAUCCAGUAGGCAGAGUCUGCAGUGAGCCGAGAUUAUGCCACUGCACUACAGCCUGGGCAACAGUGCGAGACUCUGUCUCAAAAAAAAAAAAGUAUAGCAUGUACAAUUAUGUAAAGUACGUAAUGCUUGAUAAUGACAAUAAAUGACUAUGUUACUGGUUUAUGUAUUUCCUAUACUAUAUUUUUAAUUAUUAUUUCAGAGUGCAUUUUUUCUACUUGUUAAAAAAGAGCUGUCAAACAGCCUCAGGCAGGUCCAGAAAAAGGUCUCCAGAUAAAGGUCUUGUUAUCAAAGCAGAUGAUAGCUCCAUGCCCGUCACUGCCCCUGAAGCCCCUCGAGUGGGAUGAGCUGUGGAGGUGGACAGUGAGGUGGUGACUCUAACCCUGUGCAGGCAGGCCUAUGCUGACGUGUGUGUCUCCAUCUCCGUUUUUAAGAACAAAAGCUUAAAAAGCAGAAAAAGGUUUUUUAAAGUGGAAAAAACCUUAUAGAAUGAGGAUAUAAAGAAAAAGUAUUUUGUACAUCUAGUGUGUUUGUGUUUUAAGCUAAGUUCUAUGUAACAGUCAAAAAGUUAAAAGAUUCUAAACGCUUAUAAAGUAACAAGGUUAUAGUAAGCCAAAGUUACUUUAUGAUUGAAGAAAGAAAAAUAUUUUAUAAAUUUAGCGCAGCCUAAGUAUACAGUGUUUAUAAAGUCUACACACUGUGCAGUCAUGUCCUAGGCCCUCACAUUCUCUCAGUGACACCCAGAGUAGCUUCCAGUCCAGAAAGCACUAUUCAUGGGAAGUGCCCUAUACAGCAAAUUUACCAUUGAAAUAUUUUAUACUGUAUUUUUACUGUAUCUUUUCCAUAUUUAGAUAUGUUCAGAUACACAGAUAGUUACCAUUGUGUUAUAGCUGCCACAGUAUUCAGUACGGUGACAGGCUGUAGUUUGUAGUAAGCUAUACUAUCUAGGUUUCUGUGAGUACAUUCUAUGAUGUCUGCGCAAUGACAAAAUUAUCUAACAAUGCAUUUCUCAGAUUGGAUUCCCACUGUUAAGUGAUGCAUGCCUGUGUGUGUGUGUGUGUGUGUGUGUGUGUGUGUGUGUAUACACUCACAUACACACAUAAAUGUAUACUACUCUCUGUAUCCACGAGUUCUACACCUACAGAUUCAACUAACCAGAGGUCAAAAAUAUUCCCUACAUUAUCCCUACUCCUACUUUGCAUGGAAUCUGACAAGCAUCCCCACUACAACUUCCCAGCUUCCUACUAAAAUACUCGUGAAGACUCCCAAAAAUGAGAACAGUUACAAGAAUUCUGAAAAGUAAGACUGUUCCUUAUUGCCAGUGGUUCGUGUCUGUAGUCCCAGCUACUUGGGAGUCUGAAGUGGGAGGAUUACUUGGGCCCAGGGAAGUCGAGGCUGCAGUGAGCCGUAACUGCACCACUGCAAAUCAGACUGGUCAACACAGACAGACCCUGUCUCAAAACAAGCAAACAAAAAGCAACAGAGCAAUGCUUACUGACUUCUGGUAGAAAAAUAAUUAUUAUGACUUAAAUUAUAUCAGUGAAACUGUCAUUUGUGUGUGAAGCUGCCAUAAUGGCAUUCUCAGAUACUCACUGAGAAAUGGAACUAAAAAUCAGUUGAGUCACUUUAGCCAACUGAAAGGAGAAUCAAAAUUAAGAAUUUAGUACAGAGAAUUCAAGGUAUAAAAGUAAUUCUGGGUUUUCCUUUACUUGUGUUCAACUACAAACUUGGGAAUCCAGUCAGUUGUGAAUUACCCAGUAGAUUUUUGCAAUGAAGGGGUGAAAUGUGACCUUAUGGUAUCUUCUGCUUCCACUUUCCUCAGUAAUGCCAGACACUGCAGAAACUUCUCACUCUUUACUCAAUUCGUAGGCGUCUCCUGAGAGCACAGUGAUCAGAACAAUGAGGACCACUGCAUUUCAGGACCUAAUGAAAACGGUUAAACUACGGAGAAGUUGAGACAUUGCAGCAGCAGAACCGCUGAGGAAAAAAGCUUAUUAUCUCCUCUACAAAAGCAGAGUUGCCAAGGAACUUGAUUUUCUGCAUCUGUAAACCUCAUGUUUACUGAGUCACUGGGCUGUCUUUUAAAAAUUUUUAAAUAUAUUUUUAUGUUUAUUAUUAUUAUUAUUUUUUGAGAUGGAGUUUGCUCUGUCGCCCAGGCUGGAAUGCAGUGGCACAGUCUCAGCUCACUGCAACCUCUGCCUCCAAGGUCCAAGCAAUUCUCUUGCCUCAACCUCUGGAGUAGCUGGGAUUACAGGUGCCCGCCACCACGUCUGGCUAAGUUUUGUAUUUUUAGUAGAGACUGGGUUUCACCAUAUUGGCCAGGCUGGUCUUGAACUCCUGACCUCGUGAUCCACCCGUCUCAGCCUCCCAAAGUGCUGGGAUUACAGGCAUGAGCUCCUGUGCCUGGCCUCUCUUAUUUUUUUAAUCAGUUAAGAGUAGCAAAUAACACAGGGACAGAUACCAUCUGUUACCAGGCCCUCUUCAUCUAUGGCUUGGGGUGUUUCUGGACUAGUUAUGCCAUGAACAAAAUGUAAAAAAUGGAAGAAAACAUAAUGUAGGGAAAUAUAAUGUUCAUUGGUGAUUAUCUUUGGGUGGAAAAAUUCUGAAUAAUUUUAAUGUUUAAAUUUAUAUUCUUAAAUGUUCUAGUUUGUUUCUUUUCUUUCUUUCUUUUUCUUUUGAGACAGAGUCUUGCUCUGUCGCCAGGUGCCCGGCUGGAGUGCAGCGGGGCGAUCUCGGCUCACUGCAACCUCCGCCUCCUGGGUUCAAGCAAUUCUCCUGCCUCAGCCUCCCGGGUAGCUGAGACUACAGGUGUGUGCCACCAUGACCAGAUAAUCUUUUUGUAUUUUUAGUAGAGAUGGGGUUUCACCAUGUUAGCCAGGAUGAUCUCGAUCUCUUGACCUCAUGGUCCAUCUGCCUCGGCCUCCCAAAGUGCUGGGAUUACGGUUGUGUGCCACCGCGCCCAGCCUAGUUUGUUUCUUUUUGAAACGUGUAGUUGUUACUUGUAUACUUAGGGAACAAAGAGGCUUUAAAUAUCAUUUGAUAUAAUUCUGUCUAUGCCACUUGAGAUAGAUAUUUCUGUGGCUUCUCUCGGCUCACAACCAGACCUUCUCUCUGGGCGUUCCUUGUCCCUCAUCUGCUUCACAGGGAAGACUCCCAGGUAACCAUGUUUAUAUCAGUCAGGUCCUAGUUCAAAUGCUACCUCCUCAGACUUUCCAAACAGCUGCCCACAAUGCUCACUCCCAACAAUACAUUCUGUUUUGUUUUAGCCACAGAACUUUUUAGUGGUUGCUUUAUUUUCUUGUAUACUGUUUCCCUCUCCCUCUUUUUUUUUGCUUUGUCACCAGGCUGGAAUGUGGCGGCGUGAUCUUGGAUUACUGCAACCUUUGCCUCCUGGGUUCAAGUAAUUCUCCUGCCUCAGCCUCCCUAGUAGCUGGUAUUACAGAUGCGCACCUCCAUGUCCAGCUAAUUUUUGUAUUUUUAGUAGAGAUGGGAUUUGCCAUGUGUUGCCACGCUGGUCUCAAACUCCUGGCCUCAAGUGAUCUGCCCGCCUUGGCCUCCCAAAGGGCUGGGAUUAUAGGUGUCAGCCACUGUGCCUGGCCUGUUUUUCUCUUUUCAGUGAGGGACUUUGUCAUGUUGACUGUGUUAUACUGAACCACACAUACCAUAUGCACUCAGUAAAGUACGGAACAAAGGAAAAAGCCUCCCAUGACCCCAGCUGCCUGUCCAUAGCUAGGAGAGCCAGGGAGACCCUGAGCAAAGAGGUCCUAACUUUAUUGUACCAGGAUGGCAUCAUGAUGACAUCAAGAAUAAGGGAGUGGUUGUAUACAUUCUGCUUUGCUUUAAAAAUUGCCUUUGAAAUUUUGCUACACUUUCUUUAGCUAGCUGGUGGCCAAAAGGGCUGACUGUCAUGGGGUGGGGGACGGUGGGGCAUCAGCUGAUGGGUUCCCCGUCAGUAUUGCUGGGUAGAGGCCUGAGGGCGGUGCUUGUGGCCUAUUUGUGGGCUGCAUGGGUUGGCCCACCCUGUGGCUUUAAUUCCUAAAUAAAUCUCACAGAACUGCUGACUCGUCUCACUUGCUUUCUUGAAGUACAUUCACCAGCCCCACCUAGUUUUAAGAAAGCUCCUUAAGUGACCCAGAGGUCCUCCUGGGUGAGCAGCUCUUGUCUUGGGUCCAGUAAAACAACAGGGAGCAGGGGCGAACAGUGCAAAGAGCGUCACAGGAGCAGGACACAAACUGUUACUCAGAAAACUGAGGGAGAUUAAGCUGAUACAAGAGGACUGGGCAAAAACCCAGAGACCAGGCAACAGAACGGCCCAGCGACUUUCUCAGUCUCCAGUGGCAAACAAUCCUAUCCCCCGACUCCACCCCAGCUUCUCCUGCGGUCCCGCCUCUGUCGCCCUAGCUGCUGGCUUAGGGUACCUACAGACAAAUCUCAGCUUCCUGGGCCAGCACACUGUCUCUAUGCUAGGUGUGUAGCGAGGACUCUUCAUCUUUGCAGCUGUGUGGGUAGAGGUGGCCCCGGGCAGAGGCAGUGGGACAAAGCAGCCUCCCUGAGGCUCUUUGGGAGUCCUGAAGGCUGAAGCCCUCACUGCUUUGCAGUCCAGGCUGGAGAGCUUUGACAUAUUUGUGCAGUGGAUCAUAACGUUACCUCACCAUGGAUCCAGCUGCCAGCAUCUCCAAAAUGCAGGGGAAAUUGAAGAAAUGAGCCAAAGGGGACUGUAAACCUCUUUUCCACUAGGCUCCUGUUCCUGGCCCAAAAGACUGAACCAACAUGGAAUCAUCCAUACUAAAUGUAACAAACAACGUGGGUGUACACUGUAACAGAUGGCUGAGUUUGGGUAGUUACAGCAGCUGAGCUUAAGUCAGUCGUAGGUGGCCAGCCUAUUCACGUAAGGCUGUAACUAAUUAACCUCUGUUUCUCACUGCUGUUUUCUAAACAUAAAUACUGCUUGACCAUGUGGCUUAUUCUUCAAACAUUUUCUGGUCCUGAGGUCUGCCCAAUUCUAGACUCAUGAAUGAAAGCCAAUGAAGAUCUUUAAAUGUGUUGCAAUCUGGUCUUUUUGACACCAUUAACUUAGAAAGCUCUAAGGAAGAUUCCAGAAAUCAGGUUUGCCUGAGAACUCAACCCUGUACCCAUGUGCAGUCAUUUGUGAAUUUGGGGAAUUCAGGUUGUUAUAAUACAAUAGAAAGCUAAGAGGGAUUUUCCAACUCUAAAAGUGGUUAAAUCCUGAAUUACUUAGGAAUUUUCCCAUCUUUACAAAUCUUAAAAGUUGAAGACCCUUCCUUCUUUCCCUCCUUCCUUCCCUCUCCCCCUCCCUCUCUCUCUCCCUCCUUCUCUCUCUCUUUCUUUCUUUCCUUCUUUCUCUUUCUUUCUUUCUUUCACAGGAACUCUCUGUCACCCAGGCUGGAGUGAAGUGGCAUGAUUUUGGCUCACUGCAAUCUCCACCUCCUGGAUUCAAGCAAUUCUCCUGCCUCAGCCUCCGGAGUAGCUGGGAUUGCAGGCUUAGGUUCUCCGUGUGCAGGGAUUAAGAAUUCUCGGCUCCCAGUCCCAAGUCUCGCACAUGGUAGGUGAUGAAGAAAUGUUUUAAUGAAUGAAUGAUGGUGGUAGGAGUCUCCCCAUCUCCCUAUCUUUCUCUUACAUGUUCUUUUGUCUCUGGGACAUGCUUACUUUGCCUCCUCCUCCAACCCUGGAUCAAAGGAAAUCAUUACUCCCCCCGACCCUGCGGCAUUCGAGCUGUGAGUAGAUGAAGUCUUGCCACCACUGUAGAAAGUGUGUGGGGUGAGAUGAGAACAAAGUUUAGUCAAGAAGAGGAUGUUUAGGCAGCACAGAAAACUUACAGUAUCGUGAGUUGCCAGACAAUGUUGGUAGAACAUUUAUCUACCUCCUCUGAGGGGUGUACUUUAAGGAACAGAGUGGAAGCAUUCUCCAAAAUCUACAACAGUGCAAUAAACCUCUGGAAUAGGUCAUGAGACUUUCUGUCUGUAUUACAUGGAAAGAAAAAAAAAGCAUUUGUGCAGCAAGAAAGGUUGGGUGAGGGUUUAGGAGAAAAUGACCCUUGUUCACCAGCAGAGGGCGAGCUUGGGAGGCGGCUUAAUGUUCUCCCUGAAACAACUUCGGGUUAGGGCUGCAGGAGGCAGCCAGGUGAUUUCUCCAGUUGUGGGGUCAUUUUCAGGCCACUUGUGGGAACAGGAAAGAUAAUUCAGGGACACAGGUACAAACAGAGAUUAUGUGUCACUAAGCAGGAGCCGGCAGCAAAUGACCUUUUAGACCAAAAUACGCACGGGGCAGAGAGUAGCUUUUUCUUUCACACUGAUUCCGAAAGUGUGGCCCGUGGACCAGCACCAUUUGGAAGCCUGUUAGAAAUGCAGAAUCUUCGGCACAACAUGUGACCUGCUGAAGCAAAAUCUGCAUUUUGUGUGUGUGUGUGUGACUGAGUCUCUUGCUCUGUCUUUCAGGCUGGACUGCAGGUGCACCUCCACACCCGGCUAAUUUUUGUAUUUUUAGUAGAGACAGGGUUUCACCAUAAUGUCCAGGCUGGUCUUGAACUCCUAACCUCAAGUGAUCUGCCCGCCUCAUCCUCCCAAAGUACUGGGAUUAGAGGGAGAGCCACCGCACCCAGCCCAGAGUCUUCAUCUUAACGAGAUCCCUAGGUGAGUCUACACAUCAGUUUGAGAAGCUCCUCUGCCACAUCAUUUUCCUGUGCCAAAGCUAGGGAGUUCGACCUAACCUCUCUCUACUGGAAUCAGCACUCUCUUCCUAUAUAAAAAGCUAUUGAGCAGUUAUUCUAUUUGGAAGUGACCUGAACCGUUUGUUUUUAGUACCUAAAAGUUUUUAAAAUCUUUAAAUGAGAUACCAUUUAAUUCUUUUCAAAAUGCUUUGCUAUGUUAUCAUUAGAAAGUCCUGUGGAGUAGCUGUCUGGCUCCCAGCUGUGCCCUGUUAUCACCAGACUGUGGUUAGUCUUUAACAUCAAGUGACGAGGUGAACAGAAAACUCUACCCUUGGCUGAAUGAAUCAGAGAUUUGGGGAUAUUGCCCUGCCCCCAACGUGCCCUGCCUGCUGGCAUCCUGGAGAUCUGCCACCAGCAUCAUUGGAUUCUCCAAUGGCUUUUGGUGUUCAGGGGACCUUAGUUAGAGCACAAGUGCCCUUGGAAAGGCUGCUGAGAUGCCAUCAGCAACACUUCAGCAGCUGGCUGGGCUUCACUGUGCUAAGGGCUUUACAGACAGCCAUCCCUUAAGCCUCUGGCACCCUUGCCGGGAAGUAUGAUUAUCCCCACUUUAAGAAUGAGGAAAUGGAGGUCCUCACAGAUUAACCUUCCCAAGGUCACUAGGGACUAGUAAGUGACAGGCCUGAAGCAGCUGCAUGUAACCCCAAAGCCUGGUGACCUCACCCCGAUGGAGAGAGCCAGUGCCUUCAGAAUGCGGCUUGGGUAAGAAGCUGGGUGGGCCAAAUGGAGCCCUGCCACAGGAAGGGGAGCAAUUGGGAUGGGGUGCCCACUCAUUUUAUUUUUCAGAAGUUGCCUCUGCUGCUUCUUGGGAUCUAGUGGGACCACGCUCAUCCUUGCACCCCUCCGGGCAUGAGAGAAGCCCACCAGCCUGAGGACAUCAGCAUCAUGGACUGUGAUCAUGGUUUCACCUUGGUCAUUCCAGCAAGUGGAGGAGGAGGAGAAGUUUGCCCUCCUGCCCUCUGACUCAACCCUAACCUUAGUUUUCUUCUGAUUAAGUCAGAAUGGGGGUUAGGCCACGUUCUGUGGGCAGGAGCUCUCCAUGCCAUCCAGGAACUCUCUUUGUUGUGAAUGACAUCUAAUUCUUGGUGUGUGCCUUAGUUUUCUCUUUUAAAAAUGAGGAUAAUGAGAGUGUUUGACUCACAGGAAUACUGUGAGGGUUAAAUGAGUUGGUGCAUGUGAAGUCCCUGACCCUCUUCAAACACUACACAAACGUGAGCUAAUGUUAUUUAAGGUGGGUGUGGCCACAUCAUCAUCCUUUUGACCUGUGAAGUCUCCCAUUGGUCAGGUUUAGGUCUAGAAAGAGUCAGCGGUUUCACACAGACUUGUGUCCUAAGUCACAGGCUCCUUCAUGUCUACCAGAGUCUCCCUGCACUGGCAGGAAAGGGCCCUGGCUGAAAAGAAAGUGGCGUGCUUAUUUCUCAUUUGCUCUCACCUCGAGGUAUGUCCCUGUGGGGGAAGGAACCUCACUACAGAAGGAAUAUCUGGCUCAUGCCAGCAUUCCUGAACACACAACCCUAAUGAUAAUAAUACUGCUCAAUUGAAGGAUGCCUUUUUCCCCUGCCCCCACCACCAUCACACAGCUCUAAGUUCUGCAGUGAACCAGAAAUCAGGAGAGGAGAAAUAUCUCCAGUGGAAAAUCCUAUGUGGCCUCCAGAGCUUCCCACAAUUCUGAACAACUAGAAUACACCAACUGGACAUUCCCUUGGCCAGACUCAAAAUUCCUGUGCGUGUGCAUGCAUGCAUGCAUGCAUGUGUGUAUACGUGUGUUAAGAGCUCAUUCUGAAGAUUAGAAUACUUAGAAACCCUGGUUCUGUUGAUGAAGUGUCAUGAGAUAGUUGAGAGUCAUGAGGCAGAGGGAUCACUGUGAAGCCAUCAUUCACACAUCCACAAGACUUAUGUGCAUAUCCUGGCUAAAGGCAGAAUUUCAGCUAAGAGUCUUUUGGGAGGGAAAAGCCAAGAGCAAACCCAUGCAUUCUACUUCUGUUAAUAUGUGUUUAAUUUGUCUGGUGUUCAGUAAGAGAUUGGCUUAAUAUAGGAAAGCAUUUUGAUUUGGAGUCAGGCUAAGCACAGAACCCUUCUCGAGAUGGUAAGAAUCUAUAAAAUGGGGGUAGUAACACCUACUAAGUAGGACUGUAAAAAUUAAUCAAAAGACAUGUGUAAAGCAAUCACUGAGAUAGGUAUUUCCAACCAAUGUUUUACAGAAGAGGAGAUGGAGAUCUACAAAGUUAGCUGACUUGCUUACCGCCCAAAGCCAGGCUCCAAAUACAGGUCUGUUCACACCAGAGUCACUCUAACCUCUCAGCUGGAGUGGAGAAUAGGGAUAGUGAUCAGAAAUCCUGACUCCUCCCUCACAUUCCUUCUGCCCCAUUGCACACAUCUACAUACAUACAGCAUACAUGCACACACGCACAUACACACAGCCUUCCUUCGCCCAGUAAAUCAUACUGCAGAUUGAAGGCACAGGUUGUCAUUCAAUAGGGAUAAAACCAGUCUGAGGAACAGAAGAUAGGAAGGUAAAAGAGAAACUACACAUAGACUUACCCUUAAGCUGUGGACAUUAGUUUGCAUUUGAUUUUUAGCGAUGUCAUAUCCAGUGGCCAAGGAAAUCCUCAAAGGACCUUGCAUCUUAGAGAACUCAGCUACAGGUAUGCAAAAGCGUCAGCCUAACUAACUGAAACUUUAAAGGCAACAGAUGGUCCAAUGCAUCAGGCAUGUCAAUUUUGGUGACACGGAAAGGCUGGUGAGAUUUCUGUGGGCUGCUUAAAACCUCUCCCAGGCUUGAGUGGACUUCAAACAUAGUUGCAGGCCUCAUGCCCAUAAGGGAAACACUGCUUUCAACCAAGCUGAUUACUCUGAAUCUCUGGGGAAAAUCAGAUGUCUACAUUUGUCUUUGUCAAAUUUCAAAUUAAUUUCUUGCCUGUAAUUCAGAGGGGAGCUACAAAUGAAGAGCCCUGCAGGGCAUUAAUGAGUCAACAGUAGCUCAUUCUGUCUUUGUAGCAUCUUUGUUCAUCUGGUCAAGGUUUUUUUUUUUGAGACAGAGUCUCACUCUGUUGCCCAGGCUGGAAUACAGUGGUGCAAUCUCAGCUCACUGCAACAUCAGCCUCCUGGGUUCAAGUAAUUCUACUGGCUCAGCCUCCUAAGUAGCUGGGAUUAUAGGCAUGUGCCACCAUGCCCGGCUAAUUUUGUAUUUUUAGUAGAAACAGGGUUUCACCAUUUUGGUCUGGCUAGUCUCAAAUUCCUGACCUCAGGUAAUCUGCCUGCCUUGGUCUUCCAAAGUGUUGGGAUUACAGGUGUGAGCUACCAUGCCCGGCCAUCUGGUCAGGCCAUCCACAUUCUGGAGGACUGGAUGUGUUCUCUUGCACACCCGCUUAAUUGAUACUAGAAUCUUCUUAAGUUACUGUACCCAGGGACAAAUCACUAUCACUCUUAGUCUCUGUAAGUUCCUCCUAGUAGUAUGUAAGAAACGAUCUUUGAAGAUGUCGCUUAAGGGUUGUAUGUUCAGUAAUGAAAUGGGUUACCUGUGUGUUGUUUGAAAUGGCAUCAUGAAUUUCAGCACUGGGUGAAACUGUCCAGUCACCAUGUGGAUGCCUUUCUUGUUCCUUAGUUCUAGUUAGGCUUCUUCUCUGCCACAUUCUAAAACCUGUCUGAACAGGGACCACAGUGGGAGAGGAAGUUUUUGCUUUACUUUAGGGAAGAUCACAUGUCUCAUUUGAAUUCAUACUUACCCAAAGGCCAGAGGACAGACCAAUGCGCUGCAUAGAGCUCUGGGUUCGUCCUAACUGGGUUUUAAACAAAGGAGGAAGCUGUGAUGAUGCAGGAAUUUUAGAGGCUUAUAUGAGGUGUGAUUAACAAAUGAGUGAUGCUAAACUGACAGUAUUUUAUAAACUUUUAUAGCUUAGAAGACAUUUAUGUAUGUUAUAUCAUCUGAUGUUUACAAAACCCUUUAAAUAGAUGUUAACAGGUAUUAUGAUCUCCAUAAUAUAUUGUGCUAUAGCUGGCCUAGAGUUAGAACCUGAGCAAUGCCAUUUUAUAAGACAAAGCUGUUUUUCAGAAAUAAGUUGUAACGGCUGCCCCAUUCUCCUCACAAGAACUGCUGGCCUUGGCUUCUGUAAAUAAAACUGCUAGUUUGCUCUGCAAAGUGCUCACUAUGUAAAGCUGCCUACCUUUUCUUAUCAGUAACUGCCAGAAUUGCUGGCCUUUGCUUACCAGUAAUGACCAGAAUAAGCAGCCCAAGCUAAUUCCAUCCUGGCCCCUGCAACUUGUAAUAAGUAACUAAGAUCUGUGGAUUCCACUACUGCCCAGACAAUGUGUAAACUAAUGCUUAUCUUGACUUCUGUAAACCACUUAGGUAAGAAUCGAAGUGACAACAAGUCCCCUAGCCCUUGGAAUGUCCGGAGACCUGCUCCUUCCUCUCUGCCCGGGAGGUGAUUUACGGAAUCCCCUGGCCCUCAGAAUGUCUGAAUCCCUUCAUCCCCACCCCCAGAGGUGGUUUAUGGGUAUAAAAGACUCUUGCACCCUUCCUUCGGGGCCACGGGUUGGAGAGACGUGAGUCCUCCGUGGUCACCGGCAAUAAAGACCCUGCAAUUUGGCAUA